rnacentral:rRNA from 1 species
GGAAGGUCCGGGCGUUAUCCGGAUUUAUUGGGUUUAAAGGGAGCGUAGGCCGGAGAUUAAGCGUGUUGUGAAAUGUAGACGCUCAACGUCUGCACUGCAGCGCGAACUGGUUUCCUUGAGUACGCACAAAGUGGGCGGAAUUCGUGGUGUAGCGGUGAAAUGCUUAGAUAUCACGAAGAACUCCGAUUGCGAAGGCAGCCUGCCGCAGCGCAACUGACGCUGAGGCUCGAAAGCGCGGGUAUCGAACAGGAUUAGAUACCCUGGUAGUCCGCACGGUAAACGAUGGAUGCCCGCUGUUGGUCUGAAUAGGUCAGCGGCCAAGCGAAAGCAUUAAGCAUCCCACCUGGGGAGU